rnacentral:rRNA from 1 species
CAGUCGCCGCGGUAAUACCAGCAGCCCAAGUGGUGGUCGCGCUUAUUGGGCCUAAAGCGCUCGUAGCCUGGCCGGUAAGUUCCCCGUGAAAUCGGGUCGCCCAACGAUUCGGCUUGCGGGGAAUACUGUCGGUCUUGGGGCCGGGAGACGCCGAGGGUACUCCGGGGGUAGCGGUGAAAUGCUGUAAUCCUCGGGGGACUACCAGUGGCGAAGGCGCUCGGCGAUAACGGGCCUGACGGUGAGGGGCGAAAGCUGGGGGCGCGAACGGGAUUAGAUACCCCUGUAGUCCCUGUCUCUUAUA